AUUGAACGCUGGCGGCAUGCCUUACCCAUGCAAGUCGAACGGUAACAGGUCUUCGGAUGCUGACGAGUGGCGAACGGGUGAGUAAUACAUCGGAACGUGCCCGAGAGUGGGGGAUAACGAAGCGAAAGCUUUGCUAAUACCGCAUACGAUCUCAGGAUGAAAGCAGGGGACCGCAAGGCCUUGCGCUCACGGAGCGGCCGAUGGCAGAUUAGGUAGUUGGUGGGAUAAAAGCUUACCAAGCCGACGAUCUGUAGCUGGUCUGAGAGGACGACCAGCCACACUGGGACUGCGACACGGCCCAGACUCCUACGGGAGGCAGCAGUGGGGAAUUUUGGACAAUGGGCGCAAGCCUGAUCCAGCCAUGCCGCGUGCAGGAUGAAGGCCUUCGGGUUGUAAACUGCUUUUGUACGGAACGAAAAGACUCCUUCUAAUAAAGGGGGUCCAUGACGGUACCGUAAGAAUAAGCACCGGCUAACUACGUGCCAGCAGCCGCGGUAAUAC
rnacentral:rRNA from 1 species